GUGAAUCAUCAAAUCUUUGAACGCAAAUUGCACUCUCCUCGGAGAGUAUGCCUGUUUGAGGAUCAGCCUAUAAAAAAUCGACAUCGUUGCUGUUUCGCGGUGGCGUUCGUCGGAAAUUGGGUCAUCUUAAAUCCUUUUGAUUUAAGCGACUUAAAAUUUCCUUUUGUUCCCUUGACCUUUCUUAGAUCUUUUUCUUUUCCCCUUUUAGGUAUU
rnacentral:misc_RNA from 1 species